rnacentral:lncRNA from 1 species
UCAAGACCCAUUCGGAUAUUCUAAAAUUUCGGUUCGGGUUCGGUUCGGGUUCGGGUCGGUUCGGGUAUUUUAAUAAAAAAGCAAAAUACCCGAAAAUAACCAAAAAUACCCGGAAUAUUUUCGGGUUCUGAAAUUACAACCAUCAACACCAAAGAACCUAUUUCUUCUUGAUCUUUCUUUCAUCUCCCAAUUUGUACAAUCUUCACAUUUUUAUCUAAAAUACCUAAUAUAUUCGGAUUUAUGAUUGUAAUUUUAGGUAUUUCGGGUAUUAUAAAUAUAAAAAUAACUAAUAUUUUUAGGUGUAUAUUUGUAUUCGGGUACAUUCGGGUACAUUCGGGUAUUGGAUUCGGUUCGGGUUCGGUUCGGGUUUUUUUCGGGUAGGAGGUUAGGACCCAUUCGGGUAUUUUUAAAAAUCGGAUUCGGGUUCGGUUCGGGUAUUGUUCGGGUUUUUCGGUUCGGGUAUUCGGUUCCGGGUAUUUUGCCCAGGCCUAUCUAACAUAUUGACAUUGCAUUUGGUUUUUGUUACCAUUUUCAGUAUCAUCCUAAUAUCCGUUAUCAUUAUUCAUCUAAAUCAGAUUAAGUUGCAACAUUAGUAUGAACUAUUGUCUGAUUUUAUAUGUUUUUUUUUUGUUUCCUCCAGAUUCUGAAGCAGUACCACAACAAAUACCAGCUACAGAAGGCGAAGCAACGACUGCUCCUGAAAUUACAACCAUCAACACCAAAGAACCUAUUUCUUCUUGAUCUUUCUUUCAUCUCCCAAUUUGUACAAUCUUCACAUUUUUAUCUCUCUCUCUCUCUCUGAAAGAACCCAGCUAAUUC